rnacentral:lncRNA from 1 species
UUCCGCCCCCCGAGAACGCCGACCGCAUCAAGGGCCUCUCCCGCCGCCGCAAGUCCCGCAGCACUACCUGCUGCUGCUUCCGUUUCUGCUGCUGCUCGCUGCUUCUCCUCGUCCUCCUCUUGGCCAUCGCCGCCGGCGUCUUCUACCUCGUCUUCCGUCCCGAAUCCCCCAACUACUCCGUCGACGGCGUCUCCAUCGCCGGCCUCAACCUCACCUCGCCGUCCUCCGUCGUCUCUCCCCGGUUCGACGUCUCCGUCACCGCCGACAAUCCGAACGACAAGAUCGGAAUCUACUACGAGAGAGGCAGCUCGGUGGAGGUCUCCUACAAGGACGUCGCCUUAUGCGACGGCGAAUGGCC